rnacentral:rRNA from 1 species
CCCUUAGAUGUCCUGGGCCGCACGCGCGCUACACUGAUGCAUUCAACAAGUUUUACCUUGGCCGAGAGGCCUGGGCAAUCUUUUGAACCUGCAUCGUGAUAGGGAUAGAUUAUUGCAAUUAUUAAUCUUGAACGAGGAAUUCCUAGUAAACGCAGAUCAUCAAUCUGCAUUGAUUACGUCCCUGCCCUUUGUACACACCGCCCGUCGCACCUACCGAUUGAAUGGUCCGGUGAAGCCUCGGGAUUGUGGCGAGUUCCCUUUAUUGGGAGUUUGUCGCGAGAACUUGUCUAAACCUUAUCAUUUAGAGGAAGGUGAAGUCGUAACA